AAAUUGAAGAGUUUGAUCAUGGCUCAGAUUGAACGCUGGCGGCAGGCCUAACACAUGCAAGUCGAACGGUAGCACAGAGAGCUUGCUCUCGGGUGACGAGUGGCGGACGGGUGAGUAAUGUCUGGGAAACUGCCUGAUGGAGGGGGAUAACUACUGGAAACGGUGGCUAAUACCGCAUAAUGUCGCAAGACCAAAGAGGGGGACCUUCGGGCCUCUUGCCAUCAGAUGUGCC
rnacentral:rRNA from 1 species